AGGCUCAGGACGAACGCUGGCGGCGUGCUUAACACAUGCAAGUCGAGCGGUAAGGCCUUUCGGGGUACACGAGCGGCGAACGGGUGAGUAACACGUGGGUGAUCUGCCCUGCACUUCGGGAUAAGCCUGGGAAACUGGGUCUAAUACCGGAUAUGACCUCCUAUCGCAUGGUGGGUGGUGGAAAGAUUUAUCGGUGCAGGAUGGGCCCGCGGCCUAUCAGCUUGUUGGUGGGGUAAUGGCCUACCAAGGCGACGACGGGUAGCCGACCUGAGAGGGUGACCGGCCACACUGGGACUGAGACACGGCCCAGACUCCUACGGGAGGCAGCAGUGGGGAAUAUUGCACAAUGGGCGAAAGCCUGAUGCAGCGACGCCGCGUGAGGGAUGACGGCCUUCGGGUUGUAAACCUCUUUCAGCAGGGACGAAGCGCAAGUGACGGUACUGCAGAGAGA
rnacentral:rRNA from 1 species